CUUAUACUCCCUCCGUCCGGAAAUACUUGUCCUAGAAAUGAAUGUAUCUAGACUUAUUUUAAUUAUAGAUACAUCCAUUAUAUCCAUUUUUAGGACAAGUAUUUCCGGACGAAGGUAGUAUUUA
rnacentral:pre_miRNA from 1 species